rnacentral:rRNA from 1 species
AUGGGGAAAGGGAAGGUGUCCGCUAAGCCACCCACUAGGAAGCGGAUGGACAAGCUCGAUAUGGCCUUUUCCUGCCCAUUCUGCAAUCACGGGAGCAGCGUUGAAUGCCUGAUUGAUAUGAAAAACCUGACUGGUGAGGCUAAUUGUCAAAUCUGCCAGAAAAGCUUCAGCACCACUGCAAAUGGUACGUCCAAAUCAUACAUAAAACUGCAUAUUGUACCUCCUAACAUAGCCGUAGAUGCCAUACUGAUUGGCUCUCAGCUAGAAAAUUAUGCACCAGGCACCUCAUUUGGUUUUGUUCCUUCUCAACCUAAUGAUUGCAACUCCGGGAAUGGGCUAUAG